rnacentral:rRNA from 1 species
AGCGAACGCUGGCGGCAUGCUUAACACAUGUAAGUCGCACGGGCGGGGGCGAACUCCGUCAGUGGCGGACGGGUGGAGUAACGCGUAGGAAUCUAUCCUUGGAAUGGGGGACGAACCGUGGGAAACUACGGCUAAUACCGCAUGAUGCCUGAGGGCCAAAGACGAAAGUCGUUUGAGGAGGAGCCUGCGUCUGAUUAGGUAGUUGGUGGGGUAAAGGCCUACCCAAGCCUACGAUCAGUAGCUGGUCUGAGAGGAUGAUCAGCCACAUUGGGACUGAGACACGGCCCAAACUCCUACGGGAGGCAGCAGUGGGGAAUAUUGGACAAUGGGCGCAAGCCUGAUCCAGCAAUGCCGCGUGGGUGAAGAAGGUCUUCGGAUUGUAAAGCCCUUUUGGUCGGGGACGAUGAUGACGGUACCCGCAGAAUAAGCUCCGGCUAACUUCGUG